rnacentral:rRNA from 1 species
AGAGUUUGAUCAUGGCUCAGGAUGAACGCUAGCGGCAGGCUUAAUACAUGCAAGUCGAGGGGCAGCACGUCUUCGGAUGGUGGCGACCGGCAAACGGGUGCGGAACACGUACAGAACCUUCCUUCGAGCGGGGAAUAGCCCAGAGAAAUUUGGAUUAAUACCCCAUAGUAUUGUGUAGUGGCAUCACUAUAUGAUUAAAGAUUUAUCACUUGAAGAUGGCUGUGCGGCUGAUUAGGUAGUUGGUGCGGGUAACGGCCCACCAAGCCAACGAUCAGUAACUGGUGUGAGAGCACGACCAGUCACACGGGCACUGAGACACGGGCCCGACUCCUACGGGAGGCAGCAGUAAGGAAUAUUGGUCAAUGGACGGAAGUCUGAACCAGCCAUGCCGCGUGGAGGAUGAAGGUCCUCUGGAUUGUAAACUUCUUUUAUAGGGGGCGAAAAAAGGGCAUUCUUGCUCACUUGACAGUACCCUAUGAAUAAGCGCCGGCUAACUCCGUGCCAGCAGCCGCGGUAAUACGGAGGGUGCAAGCGUUAUCCGGAUUUACUGGGUUUAAAGGGAGCGCAGGCGGAUUGUUAAGUCCGUGGUGAAAGCCCUCAGCUUAACUGAGGAACUGCCAUGGAUACUAUCAGUCUUGAAUAUCGUUGAGGUUUGCGGAAUGGGUCAUGUAGCGGUGAAAUGCUUAGAUAUGACCCGGAACACCAAUUGCGAAGGC